rnacentral:rRNA from 1 species
UACGUAGGGUGCAAGCGUUGUCCGGAAUUAUUGGGCGUAGAGAGCUCGUAGGCGGUCUGUCGCGUCGAAUGUGAAAACCCGGGGCUCAACCCCGGGCCUGCAUUCGAUACGGGCAGACUAGAGUUCGGUAGGGGAGUCUGGAAUUCCUGGUGUAGCGGUGAAAUGCGCAGAUAUCAGGAGGAACACCGGUGGCGAAGGCGGGACUCUGGGCCGAUACUGACGCUGAGGAGCGAAAGCGUGGGGAGCAAACAGG